CGAACGAUGAAGCUCUAGCUUGCUAGAGUGGAUUAGUGGCGCACGGGUGAGCCAUGCAUAGAUAACAUGCCCUUUAGUCUAGGAUAGCCAUUGGAAACGAUGAUUAAUACUGGAUACUCCUUACGAGGGAAAGUUUUUCGCUAAAGGAUUGGUCUAUGUCCUAUCAGCUUGUUGGUGAGGUAAUGGCUCACCAAGGCUAUGACGGGUAUCCGGCCUGAGAGGGUGAACGGACACACUGGAACUGAGACACGGUCCAGACUCCUACGGGAGGCAGCAGUAGGGAAUAUUGCUCAAUGGGGGAAACCCUGAAGCAGCAACGCCGCGUGGAGGAUGAAGGUUUUCGGAUUGUAAACUCCUUUUGUUAGAGAAGAUAAUGACGGUAUCUAACGAAUAAGCACCGGCUAACUCCGUGCCAGCAGCCGCGGUAAUACGGAGGGUGCAAGCGUUACUCGGAAUCACUGGGCGUAAAGAGCGCGUAGGCGGGAUAGCAAGUCAGAUGUGAAAUCCUAUGGCUUAACCAUAGAACUGCAUUUGAAACUGUUAUUCUAGAGUAUGGGAGAGGUAGGUGGAAUUCUUGGUGUAGGGGUAAA
rnacentral:rRNA from 1 species